GCUCACUAACAGAUUUAGACAGAUCAGAUUUGUGAACACUAUUUGAGAUAAAUAAGCUUUUUGUGUACAUAGAUAAAGUCUUAGAUCUUUGAGUUCAGCUCAUGAAAAAUG